rnacentral:rRNA from 1 species
UGGCGGCGUGCAUACACAUGCAAGUCGAACGAGUUUCGUUCGGUAGCAAUACUGAGCAAAACUAGUGGCGAACGGGUGCGUAACACAUGAGUCAUCUGCCCACGAAGUGGGGAAUAGCUCGGCGAAAGCCGGAUUAAUACCGGAUGUGGUCGUAAGACCAAAGCCGGGGUAACCUGACGCUUCUGGAGGAGCUCGUGGCCUAUCAGCUAUUUGGUGAGGUAACGGCUUACCAAGGCACGACGGGUAGCUGGUCUGAGAGGACGAGCCAGCCACACUGGAACUGAUAUACGGUCCAGACACCUACGGGUGGCAGCAGUCGAGAAUUUUUCUCAUUGGGGGAAACCCUGAAGGACCGACGCCGCGUGGAGGAUGAAUGCUUUCGGGUUGUAAACUCCUGUCAUUUGGGAACAAGGCCUUACGUUAACUACGUGGAGGAUUGAUAGUACCAGAAGAAGAAUACACGGCUAACUCUGUGCCAGCAGCCGCGGGUAAUACAGAGGUCUCCAGCGUUGUUCGGAUUCAUUGGGCGUAAAGGGCGCGUAGGCUGUGGGGUCAG